GGAAAGAAGGCCUAUUGGGAUGGUGAACAUAAAGAUCCAGAGAGGCAACGACUUAAUUGACCUUCUUACCUUCCUCCAAACAUAUUCAUCGACAUCCCUGGACGAUGCUGCCGUCUCAAACAACGUUGCUGUUGAUUGGACUUCAUAACCCAACCAACUGUCUCGAGGUUAUGACUGAUCAGAGACCUCUGGGACUUUGAUCUCUCGGCCUCUGGUCUGAUAUAUUCGUUCAGUCUGUUUGCGAUGCAUUAGAAAAGGCUGAGGUCUGUGCAUUAUACUUGGCCUCUACAGUAUUUGUCACCAACAUGGCUUGGUCAAUCGAAGUUUGCCUACCGGGCGCGUGCGGUGUUGUAUAUUAUCGACUGGAGUCCAUGAGAACCUUUAGAUGAUAUUUAGGGUUUUUCUA